UCUCUGCUUAAAUGCCAGCGUGGGAAGCGGGGCUCCUCUGGGUAAGGAUCAGACUCUCUCCCAACCAUGUUUUUCCUGACUCCAGUCCUGGUAGCAGUUGUCUGCAUUUUGAUCCUGUGGAUCUUUAAAGCUGCUGAUAGAAGCCCAGAGAAAAAGAAAGGGGAGCCCCAAACUCAGCCCUGGGUGCAUGAAGACUUGAAAGACAGCUCUGACCUCCACCAAGUGGAAGAAGAUGGCGAUGAAUGGCAGGAGUCAGAGGAACAUGUGGAACACAUCCCGUUCUCCCACACCCGGUAUCCUGAGGAGGAAAUGGUUAAGAGAGCUCAGGAAUUUUAUGAACUUCUCAGUAAGAGACGGUCAGUCAGGUUCAUAAGUAAUGAGCAAGUCCCAAUGGAAGUCAUUGAUAAUGUCAUCAAAACAGCAGGAACAGCCCCAAGUGGGGCCCACACGGAGCCCUGGACCUUUGUGGUGGUGACGGACCCAGAUAUGAAGCAUCAGAUCAGGGAGAUCAUCGAGGAGGAGGAGAAAAUAAACUACAUGAAAAGAAUGGGAGCCCGCUGGGUGACAGACCUGAGGAAACUGAGAACCAGUUGGAUUAAACAGUACUUGGACACCGCCCCUGUUUUGAUUCUCAUUUUCAAGCAAGUGCACGGUUUUGCUGCGAAUGGCAAGAAAAAGAUCCACUACUACAAUGAGAUCAGUGUUUCCAUCGCUUGUGGCAUCCUGCUCGCUGCGCUGCAGUGCAAAUUGGCUCUCAGCACGGCUCGCAGGGGAGGCCUCCCCAAGUCCAGACGCCUUUCUGCACCUUCCAGCACUUUGUGUCCGAUGAGUCCUGUUCAGGGACGUGUGGAGUGAGAGAUUGGGAGCCCAAGUCUUGGGGGAAAGAAGCACCGUCCUCAGACACAAGCUGACUCGCUCUUGGGGAAGCCAGUUGCCGUAUUUUAAGGGCACUCAGGAGCCCUUUGGAGAGGUCCAGCUGAUCAGGAAAUGAGUCUCCUGACAACGGCCACCACCACCUUGCCAGCCAUGUGAAGGUACCAUGUUGGAAUCAAGUCCCCCAGUGUUGGUCCAAUGAAUGCAGCCCUAGGUGACUUUUGGACUACAACCUCCAGAGGCAUUCUGAACCAGAACCACUCAGCCGGGCUGCUCCCAAGUUCCUGAUCCACAGAGAUGGGCCCAAGGCAAAUCAAGAAGAUGAUUCCAACACCAUCUCCAAAUGCCCAAUUCGGCUAGCUGGCUACUCAGGGCCUCGGCCUUGACCAGCUGGAAGCAGCAGGCGAGGCCCAGAGCACACAAACAGGGAGGCAUCGUCCUGCUCCCAGGGGUCUAGCUGUUGGUAGGUAGUCAGAUAUACAGACAGAAUGCCUCAGAGCCAGGUGGACAGAUGUUCACAGGUAAGUAUGCACUGGGUUUCCUGGGAGCACAGGGAAGGGCCUUUCACGCCACAUGCCCAACAUUCAGGGAGAUUUUCUAAGAAGACAACAUUUGAUGUGGCUGUGACCGGCCAGUGAGAAUCCAGGUGAGGGGCUGCAAACCACAUUCACAGCCUGUCGUCUGUUCUUUGUGGCUAAAGAUAGUUUUUGCAUUUUAAGCAAUUGGAAAACAUCAGGAGAGGCGUGACAGGUCACAAUACAUGGGAAUGAUAUAAAGUUCCACUUUCAUUUUUCUAUAAAAGCCCAGUUUUAUUGGAACACAGCCACACUUGUUUGUUUAUAUGUUAUCUGUGGCUGCUUUUGUGAGUUGAGUUGUUGCCACAGAGACUGUGUGGCCUGCAGAGAUUCAAAUAUUUACUCUCUGCCUUUUGGGAGUAGAAAUGUGUGACCUUCGGUCCAGGGGGAAGGGGUGCUCUGGGCAGAGGGAGAAGGCGGGAAAACUGCCUGCUCUGAGCAGGGAACUGAGGAAGAGAAGAGGCCGUGUGAUGAGACAGAAGAGUCCAGUGCAUCCUGAGAAGUACUUUUACUUUUCUUUCAUGACUUUCCCAAAUGCCUUGUAGCUGGCCAGGCCACAUCAGGUACUGCUCUGAGCGAUAUUUGCUUUGGCAGUGGCAAAUUUCAGAUUCAGACCUCUCAUAGAGAACUCUACCCUGCAAUCCUUCUGUCAUCUUCCUCACUGAGGCCCUUGAGGGGCUCCUCCCCUGCCCAUGACAAUAGAAAGUCUGCACUGUGCACACAUAUGCGUCUCUUUUCUCCUUCAUAAGCAGCCUUCUCCUACCCUUAGCAUCAGUGCAUGCACUGUUCCCUAUUAUGGUGCAGCAGAAGUCCUACUAAAGGCUCCUUUAGGUGGAAUUUUUUUCCCUGUGAUUCUUAUCUAUGGUAGAGCACGCUGGGCAGGUACAGGAACAGCUGGUAAUGCCAACUCUGAAAGCGUCCAGCACCUAGAGCUGGUAAAACUGAAGAGCCUAUCAAUAGAGAAUGACAGAUCAAUGGAAAAUUGCUGGCACUGCAGUCUCUGGUGGUUGAUAAGUGCUGGCUCCAAGCGGCAAAAAGGGCCAUUAACACUAAAAGAGUUAAUAGCCACUGGUAUGCAGAGCCUGGAGCUGUUAACCCUAAAAGAGCUACAUUUUACCAGUUCAUGACUUCUUGGCUGAACUGGAAUAAUGAAUAAAAGACAUCUUGGCUGAUUGGUAACAUCUUGGACUCCAGUAGUAGAGGGACCUUUCCCUUUAAAUGGCCUUGAAUCAGUCAAACAAUGGUGAGAUCUGUCAGCUUGCUCAACAACCAGCCUGUAUCUGAUUUCCAUCUUACACAAGCUAAAAAUCCCAUGCUACCAGUGACAGUAACUUAGGACUCAUAUUGUUGGGUGGCUAUGGGCCUGCUCAGAUAUAGCCCCCAAAUAAUUGGGUGCAGCAGAAAGCAGAGAGACACAGCAAACGGAGCCAAAUGCUAAGGCUGGGGGUUGAGAGAUGUAGCAUGUUGGUCACUUAUCAGUUUGAGGGGAUGGAGGCCCAAAGAUGGAAGAGCAGAAAGUACCGAAUGGGAGCCUGGAAAGGUGAGGGGACCGCUACCCACCAAGCAGUUCUACAGCAGCCGAGCAAUCCCAGGUAUCUCUGUCACAUCAUCACUGCUCUUGCAGGCCUUAUUUAUAUGCAGAAAGAUCUUCUCUUCAUUACUGUACUAGUCCAUGCUUCCUAGGGAUGUAGAAGAAUGCAAGAGAUCUGUUUGCAAAAUGGAGACCUGAAGAUUCCAGCUGAAGGCCUGGAUCCCAUGGCAACGUCUCAUGCAAGUUCGUAUCAAGGAUCGGCACUGGGAGGAUUCAAAGGCCAGUGGUGGAAGCUAGAAAGUCUACACCAGCGGGAUGAAGGACCUGUGCCAGCAGGCUGAGGGAUUGCACUGAGCCAGGAGGCGAAGACCAGAACUCCCCUAAAGAAAACAGCAACCAUCUCUGGCAACAAUGAGGACCCGAACUCCUCCAAUGAUGAGAACAGCUGACACCACGCUUCUCCAGGAAAAUCAACAGCAUGCAGUCUUUCCCUCCAGUUCUCCUUUUAUGUCAUUCCAGCAACAAUCCUCAAGUGGGUCUUCCACACCCAGACCACACUGACUCGUUCAGCUUACGUGUUCCCUCUUAAGUUGACUGCUAAUUAAUCCACUGAGUCCACAAGGAACAUUUCUCAUGGGAAGGUGUCCUUUACGCAUUUUCUCAGAUCAGGAACCUGAACGUAUGAUAAUGUACCUAGAAGGUAAUGCAUAGUCAGUAGAGGAUAGUAUAAAUGUCAUCUGGGAUUGAUCUACAGAGGCAAAGUAGGGCAAGGUCACCACGGGACAGUUUAGAUAGCAAAAUGUUGUCUUUUUAAAAAUAUUGAUUACUGUUAGCAUUUUAUUCCACAGUGAUUAUUCUUACUUCAUCUGUGUCUCUCCUUGUGUGACUUUUGGUGUGGAAUUGUGCCCAUGAGUCACUAGUGUGGCAGGUAGGCUAAUUAUCUCCUGUCCAGGGAUAGGUAGUGUAACAGUUUUGCAUUUGAUAAACUCUCUAGAUAAUUAUACCCAAAAUCUUAUGUGGGGAGGACUGAGGGCUCAUGACUCACACUGCUGUCAUUUGGUAACUAAUCAUUCAGACAUUCUUCCAGUAAAAGGCGCGGACCCUGAGAAGGACAGGGACUGUGAGAAGGUGAGGAAGGAUGAAACACUUCCGAGAGUCUCCCGAGCCUCAGGAGCCCUGAGUCUGGGCAUUAGGACAAGCAAAAUUAUUAGGAAGCCAUAUGAAAAAUGCUUUCUCAGUGUUAUUUUACCUUCAUUUAUGUUUUUGAGAGAAAUGAAGUCAGAAUUAUUUUUAAAUAAGAAAGAUGAUAAAAACCAAACCAUUAAAAGGUACAAGUUAAAUAUUCAUAAGCGCCAGCCCACAUCCCUUCCAGGCAAUCUUCCAUGAGGAGGUGGGAUGUCUUUCUCCUAUGCAGGGCGGAGCUUCUAUUUCACCCAGAGUUGGGGCAGGGUUGUCCCCAGUCCCAAUUUAAGGGGCAGCCUCCACAUCCAUGUCUCAAAUUAACCAUUUUUCAUCUCUGGGCACUGCCAACCACGUGCACAUUUCCCCACUUUUUGGACUUCCUUUUCAAAUUAUUGCCAUAAAUGCAGGCUUAAAUUCACUAAACUAGACAUUUUCUCCAGAGGAGCCAAUUCUCACCACUUGUUUUAUUUCUAGAAGAAGGACAAAAGCAGCAAAGCUGUGUUUGAUGAUAAACAGACACCUGGGCUGGGUCCUUCUGGAGCAACUGGGGGUGGGAAGAGGGACUAUUAUGUUUCUCCUGGGUAUGAAAGCCACCAAGAUCAGACCAACUCCUGUGAUUCUUCCCACCACAAUUAAAAGAG